GGUGGCCUAGUGAUUAGAGCAUCCGCCUCGGAUGCGGGAGGUUGUUGGUUUGAUCCCCAACCAAGUCA